GUGGCCGGCCUUUAAAGUGACUACUAACAACGAUAACUUAAGUGGUACC
rnacentral:sRNA from 1 species